AGUCUAACAAGUUGCUGGUGCUUUGGCAUCGGGUUUGGCUCUUCUAGUUUUCCGGAAAGUUAUGGCCGCAUCCGCCCGCGACAUUUUAUUGUCCUGCUGUACCUGAAUUGCAAGCAACAAUAAAGCGAGCCCUCUCGGUAACGCAGGCAGGCAGGCAGGACUCUCCAAAUUGCCGGCGACCACUUUAAGAAUCCUUCGUCAUUUGGCUAAAAUGCUGUCAGUCCUUGACUUGGAUUCGCCAAAUUUGUAUUGCCUUUUAAAAGAAGAGCUGGAUUGGAUGGUUUCGAAAAAGCUGCCACAUCAUCGAGUGAACUGAAAAACUGGGCUCAAGGACGGACCUUAAUUAUGAGCGGUACCAUCCGACCAUCCAACCAUCCGACCAGCCAUGCAAAACUUGAUUAUUCAUUUGAAGACUCAUUUUAUUAUCUGCAUAAAUCUUUGCCGAAUCCACCAGCCACAACUUUCUGUUUACUUUGUUGUGGGGAGGCAAAGAGCUCGCAGGCCAAAAGGAAAAAAGACAAAAUGGAUCCAUCAUUCACUGGCGUGGCCGCAUUUAAAACAUCUUGAUUAAAAAACUAAAAAAGGCGACUGGGAAAAGCUAGAAGAAUGGCGGUCGGUGAAAUGGUAAAAUGAAAGCCAAAUGCAAACUCAGCGCAUUCUAAGUGCGCCAGUGGAAAAACAAAAAGGAAAGGAAAUUCGCGGAAAAAAUUAAAAAACAAAAUGAGAGAAGGCUAAAAAACUUAUAAGCCGCGAGCGUAGAGCCAAGUUGCGGAAUAACCGCGGCUGGGCAGCGUUUAAAAAGGGAUUUCAAAAUUAACGUCCAUCAGGCGGGAAACAAAAAAAGCAAAAAUGAAAGAGAAGAAAAGUCAAUUUGAAUGAUUAAAUAGCGAAAGCUGUGUGUAAAAGUUGUGUCGCCGCACCGCCAUCGACCCCAAAAACCCAACCAUUUCCAAUCCAAAUCCCGAGCGUAGCGCCCACCAAAAACAGAGAAAAAGGCGAUUAGUGUGGUCUUUUGUGUGGCUUAAGCGUCGCCAUUGCCAUCGCUUCCUUUUUUGGGCACUCUCAGGCGAAUUUACAUUUAUUAAUUCCCCUGGCAGCUGCCGAAAAAAGGGUCAGGUUUCUGGCCGGGUUAUGUAUGCGAGUAAAUAAAAACAUGUGAACGUUAGCGCAAAAAGCGAUAAUCCAUCAUUUUCGUCACAGGUUGACUUUGGCGCUCGAACAGUGGUUAAAUCUUUUCGAAACCACCAUGCAAAAUGGUUGUUAUGUGCUCCACUCUAGAUCAACCUCUGGUUGAGCUAUACAUUGACAAAAAAUUCUUUCAUUGUCAAUUGUUAAUUGUUUAAUAUUGUAAAAGUAAGUUUGGAAAUUAAUCGAUUUUAAACCUGGAUUUUAAUAUGAAAUACAAAAUGGUACAAUUAAAUAUAACUAAAAUUGUAACUAA